AAGUUCAGUUUCGUUGCAGUUGAACCAAAGUAUCAUGAAAAACACAAACUAACCUAAGCUACUCCAAAAUAUAUGUUUCCAAUGCUUUUACUGUUCACUCUUUUAUCACAUUGCCUUUCUUCCUCAACAACUCUCUCUUCUUUCAGUACUACUCUUUUCUCUCUUCUAUCAAACAUCACAAAAUUAUUUUUCUCUUUUCUUUGUGAAAUCAGUGGUUUUUUUAGAUCUAUGAGAAAGACAAGUGAUGUUUUGAAUCUAUGAAAUCAAAGAAGAUCUAUUAAAUGUUUUUUUCCAGGUUGUUUUACUGUGAUAUGAAACGGCCUCCAGGCGGAUCUGAAAUCGAAACCACCAGAUCUGAAAUCAAACCGUGACUAAUAUUGAAACUAUGAUGUUGCGAUUUUUGAUUCUUCGCCUUUUGUGUUUUACAGAUUUCACCAUCUUCUUCUUUUAGAUUUCACUUUGCUCAACUUUUGUGUUUUUGACUUUGCAGGUUUUCUCCUUUGAUGUAUGAGGCAGCAGUGGUGCAUAGUAGAAAUAAUUUGGAAAUUGAAAGUCAUACACAUGGAAAGUUCAAGCUAACAGUAACAUUGACUAGGAUAUCACAGGGCAGUCAGAAAAAUUAAAUUAAGCUGAUAUGGGUUUAUCAAUUCUCCAGGUUGUUCUUGCUCCAGUCACACUUGGUCUUCUUCUCAAUACAUAUGCAUAGGAAUAAAAGCAUUGCUGAAUUUUGAUGUAUUGUUUCUUUGAUAAAGAUGUGUAAUGUGGUGAGGAUAAAUUAAAGUUUGAUUAAAUUUUUAUAGUAAGUAAAAUAAUAAACUUUAUAGGUUUACAAAUAUAUUUAAUAUAUAAUUUAAAAUAGAAUGUAGUGGAACCAAA